CCCCGCCCUUUUACUUUGCCAAUUGGACUUAGGUCUUUAUGGUGAUUCAAGUGGGGCAAAGGAAAUAUCCUUUUAAAACUCAAGCAAACUGAGUGUCUUGUAUUCUGUCAGGGGAAACAAAU